rnacentral:tRNA from 1 species
GCUCGAGUAGCAAAAAAGUGCAUCGAACUUAAGAUUCGAAUAUGGUAUAUUACUAACUAUUUAAUUACCCUCUAGCA